UACGGGGGGGGCAAGCGUUGUUCGGAAUUACUGGGCGUAAAGGGCUCGUAGGCGGCCAACUAAGUCGGAUGUGAAAUCCCCAGGCUCAACUUGGGAACUGCAUCCGAUACUGGAUGGCUUGAAUCCGGGAGAGGGAUGCAGAAUUCCAGGUGUAGCGGUGAAAUGCGUAGAUAUCGGAAGGAACAUCAGUGGCGAAAGCGACUUCCUGGACCAAUACUGACGCUCAUGUGCGAAAGCGUGGGGAGCAAACAGG
rnacentral:rRNA from 1 species